AACGAACGCUGGCGGCAGGCUUAAUACAUGCAAGUCGAGCGGGCACUUCGGUGUCAGCGGCGCACGGGUGCGUAACGCGUGGGAACAUGCCUUUAGGUACGGAACAACCAAGGGAAACCUUGGCUAAUACCGUAUAAUAUCUCUGGAUCAAAGAUUUAUCGCCUAAAGAUUGGCCCGCGUUAGAUUAGGUAGUUGGUGGGGUAAUGGCCUACCAAGCCGACGAUCUAUAGGGGGUCUGAGAGGAUGAUCCCCCACACUGGAACUGAGACACGGUCCAGACUCCUACGGGAGGCAGCAGUAAGGAAUAUUGGACAAUGGGCGAAAGCCUGAUCCAGCCAUGCCGCGUGAGUGAUGAAGGCCUUAGGGUUGUAAAGCUCUUUUAGAUGGGAAGAUAAUGACUGUACCAUCAGAAUAAGCCCCGGCUAAAUUCGUG
rnacentral:rRNA from 1 species